rnacentral:rRNA from 1 species
UACGGGGGGAGCAAGCGUUGUUCGGAUUUACUGGGCGUAAAGGGCGCGUAGGCGGCCACCGCAAGUCGGUUGUGAAAUUUCUGGGCUUAACCCAGAAAGGUCAACCGAUACUGCGGGGCUAGAGUGCAGAAGGGGCAACUGGAAUUCUCGGUGUAGCGGUGAAAUGCGUAGAUAUCGAGAGGAACACCUGCGGCGAAGGCGGGUUGCUGGGCUGACACUGACGCUGAAGCGCGAAAGCUAGGGGAGCGAACGGG